GGCAGUUCUCAGGUGACUCACCCCAAAAUGAGGCUCCCUCCUCUCUUCUUCUGGGUGCCUUACUUGAGAACCGCA
rfam:Myotis davidii contig171028, whole genome shotgun sequence.